UUUUCCUUGAGACGGAGUCCCGCUCUGUCACCAAGGCGGUAGUGCAGUGGCGUGAUCUCGGCUCACUGCUGAUACGGCUCCCAUGAGUGGAGGGACACCAGGGCUCUUGUCUUACCUUGAAUUAGGUAAAACAACACUGACACACGUGGAGUGGUUUUAAAGAGCGGAGAGUUUAAUAGGCAAGAAAGAAGGCAGAACUUAGAGGCUUCCCCUUACAGAGACAGAGGGAGGGGGGCUCCAAAGCCGAAAGAGGAGGGCCCCAAGUGUGGUGGACGCCAGCCAGGUAUACAUGCAGAGGCCGGAGGAGGCGAUCUGAUUUGCACAGGGCUUAGCGGAUUGGUUUGACCAGGCAUGUUUUAUUCACGUAGCAGGGAAAAAGCUGGCCCUCCCUUCCUAGCCUUUUAAUAUGCAAAUGCAGGGCGCUGUGACGUUCUACGCAUGUGGGGAUAUGUGGCGGACGUUGCCAGGAACAUGUGGGGCAAGGGCAAGAAGGCAGCAGUAACCGCCAUGUUUGGGAAAAGCUCCAGAAACUCCCCUAGCAAGGCUGGAUCUCUCCAAGCUUCAGAAAGAGGAAGACAACUGAACAGGCAGGGCUCGCAUCUUCUUUAGAGGCGGUGGAGUUGGGGGACAGCUGGUAACAGGAUAGAUAGCAACAACCACCUUGAAGAUAAUGCACGAAGUGUCGGCACUGCACAGUACAUGAAUGAUCUCACUUAACUCCCGUGCAAACCCUAUGCCAUGGCUGCUAUUAUCAUUCACGUUUACAGGAUGAGGAAACUAAUGCUCAUGCAGGGUGAAAGCCUCCCUUCCCUACAUCAUAAUCAUCAGAGCAUAUUUAAUUCCUCUCUGGGAGGGAGCCCUUUGGGAACUGCUGGCGGGAGCCUAAAUGAGUCCUCUUACCUCCUUCUUACGUGCCUAGGCUGGAGGUGGCAUGGCAUCAUAAAAGCUAAAGUCUUAAGGUCUUUCAAUCUGUAUCUUCUUCAAAUUUCAGCAUCUUAGUUUUGCAAAGAAAACGGAAUAUGAGAGCAACCUUAAAUGCCCUUAUUUGUCACCCUUAAAUGUCCCUAUUUGUCAAAAUCCAUGUAACUAUGAGGCCUAUGGUGGUUUUAAAAUAGGUCCACAAAUUCUUUAACCCUUCUCCCAUCUAAAGAUGGAAGCUAUUUCUCUUUCUCUUAAAUAUGGGUAGGACUUAGUGUUAUGUAUUAUAACAAACAUAAUGGGGCAGAAAUGAUACUCUGUGACUCCCAAGGUUAUAAAAAGCAUGAAGUUUCUGCCUGGCCCUCUUUCAGGAGCCUGGCCCUUGGACAGCCACCAUACUCUGCAGAAGCCCAGGCUGCGUGGAGAGGCUGACGCUGGUGUCUGGCCAACUGUCCCUGCUGGGCCUUCAGCCUGUAGUCAGCAUCAACAGUCAGGCGUGUGAGUGAAUGAGUCUUCAGAUAAUGCCAGCCCCAGCCUUUGCUUCUUCCAGCCAUGACCCCAGACAUAGUGGAGCAAGGACAAGCCAUCCUCACUGUGAUGUGCCCUGUCUGAAUUUAUGAGCCAUGGAAACUGUGAGAGGUAAAUUAUUAUUGUUUUAAGCUACUAAGUGUUGAGGCAAUUUGUUAGGCAGCAAAUAGACAACUAAUACAAAGCCAUUUCCAACCUCUUGAGUGAAUGACUGGAGCACAGUUUUCUCAUUUAUUGACUAUUCUGCUAGAUGGAAAGCAAAUUAUAGACUCCUGUCCAAUGCUUGACAUUCCUGGGCCUAGGACCCUGCUUGUCUACACCCACUAAGACCUGGAGUAUCAGGGACCUGCCUUGGUUUCAAUGGAGGCUUGCCUGGACCCUUCAGAUCGGAGCUCCAUUUGUCAUCCUGCUUCUUUCUGGCUGCUAGAGUUGCUUCUCUUCUUCCUCAGCUCCCUGGUACUCAUGGUAGAUGGUGACUGAGCAGAACAAUGGGAGCCGAUACCUUGGUUUAUUCAUCUCUGCUGCAUACCAUUUGCUAUGGUCUGAAUGUUAGUGUCUACCUACAAAUGUAUUUGUUGAAAUCCUAACACCCCAGAUGAUGGUAUUAGGAGGUGGGGCCAUUGGGAGGUGAUUAGGUCAUGAGCCUUCAUGAAUGAGAUUGAUGCCCUUACAAAAGAGACCCAGGGGAGCUCUUUCACCCCUUCUGCCAUGUGAGGACACAGUGAGAACACCAUCUGCAACCCAGAAGAAGCUCUCGCCAGAAUCUGACCAUGCUGGCACCCUGAUCUCAGGCUUCCCAGCCUUCAGAAUUGUGAGAAAUAAAUUCCUGCUAUUUGUAAGCCAUCCAGUUUAUGGUAUUUUGUUAUAGCAGCAUGAACUGGCUAAGACUCCAUUGCAGCAGGAACUCAGUGAGGGCAUGUGUGGACCUCCAAGCCUUGCUUGUAGGUCCCAGGCAGAAAGCACCCUGCAAUAGUUACAGGAGAUGUCAAUGUUCCCCAAGUCCCUGCUGUAAGGUUAUGAAUUCAGCAUAUCAGCCCCAAUUGCUAUCUAUGCUGCCAUAUGCUCCUUUGAGAGUGGUGAAGGAGACCUGCCCAGAAAUGCUCUCCCACGUGGCUCUGGGACUGCCAGCUCCCCUUUGGGUGGGACCUUGCAGAUGCUCAUGUGGGCAGCAGCAUCUCUGCUCUGGAGCCUGUUCAGCCUUGUGUUAUUUCUGGGGCAUGUUCUAACCCUUUCCCAAACAUGUUCUCUGUUCCCUAGCACAGGACUCGCUGCUAGUCCUUCUAAUUUCCAGCGGAAAGCAGUCUGUUUUGACGCUUCCCAGGUGUUCAGUCCCAUAGGAGCAGCUGAGUCCUCAAGGCAGCAGCCGGUAGGCAGGCAGUUUGCCGUCCUUGAACCAGCCUGACCAUCUGACUGUGCUACUGCAAGGGAGUGUUAGAGACUUUCUCAAUUUGGUGACUCAUACUCAUCCUCCACUUGGAACAUCCAGUUCUGAACCUUGCCGUCUCCCAGAAAUUGUCAUUCUAGCCUCAGCCUCAUCUCUACAAUGUCCUUUUGGCUUCCCAGUGAUGUUCCAGGAAACUUGUUCAUGCCGGGUCAUCUGUCUCCCGUUUCAGGCAGCCAGCAUGGAAAUGGAAUUUUGGCUCCCAUCCAGGGGGAUGAUUUUAAUUCAGGAUGCAACUGGGCGCUGCCCUUUGACUUCAAAGCCACCCACGUGGUACAGAUAUAGAGUGGUAUAAGGAUUAAUGAAAUACGGUGUAUCGUUCUACUUCAUUUAAUGGCUGCAUCAUGUACCAUGUAUGUACCAUAAUUUGUUUAACUAAUCCCCUAUUGAAGAACAUUAAGGUAAUUAUUAUUGUUAUUAGAUGAGCAGCUGAACCUUGGAAACACACUCUUAAAUGCUUUCCUUCUGAGGAAAAUGAAGGAGCUGGCUGUUUCUUAUCAAGAGGAUCAUGCCCCUUGGAGAUGAUUAUGCCCCAGCCUGAGACACGCUGAUAUCCUCACAGGCUGUUCCCAAUGGGAGGGGGCCACUCAGGGGCACUGGGGUGGGAAAAGAUUGGCUGUCGCCACACCCUUUAAGGAAUGGAUUUUCCAACCAAGGACAGUGAAGGGCAAGCCUCUAAAAUGUCCACUAAUGAAAGAGUAACUACAAUGUUCUUGUAUGCUGCUCUGAUUAUCAUCAUCCCCAGAGCCUUCCUGUACCCUGCCAUGGACUGUGUCUUCCUGGAAGUGCUUGUGGUUUGAUGUUGCCUCCUUGCAGAUGUUCAGAAAGGACUGCUUGCUGGAAAGGAGAGAAGCUGAGAGAUGACCACAUUCCUCCUGGAUUAAUAUGGGCUCCGGUGGCUCCUCCCUGUGAUGUGCCGUGCUCCGUGCCUUGGGACCUUACUAUGUCAUCAAAGGCAGCCACAUUUAUGCAGACAUAAGGGAAGCCAGAAUCUACAAGAACCGUCCCUCCAGGAGGGAAACACUCCACUGAACAGUGUCAAAUGGACCUCUUCAGAACCUGGACUCGAUGGGGGACCACAGAGAGACAGCCAUGGAAGCAGAGGGCAGCUGCCAGCAACUAUUGCUGCCAUGUGCCAAACACGGUUCUUAACAUCUCACGCCUCAACUCUCUUUAAUCUCAUAACAACCCUAUGAGGUAGGUGCUGUUGUCCCCAUUUUGCAGAUGAAGAGGCUGAGGCACAGGAAGAUUAGACACCCAUCCCAAAGCAAGAACCCGAUGGUGCUGGAUGUGAACCCAGGCACUGUGACUCAGGCUCCUACCACUGCACUGAGUGUCUUUCAAUGUAGUUGAAGUAGAGGUGGUCACAGCAGAGAGCAGUCAAGAGGAGACAGAAACUGAGAGAUGGAUACAGAGCUUUGUGAUCAGCAGGGGACUAAGGACAUCCAUUUCUGAGGGGACAACAAAGUGACCAGGCCACCAUAAUAACCCUGAAGGACAAGAAUUUUGUUCCUGUGCACCGGUGGGUAGUGGGACAUCUGAAUGGAUGGCUUCCCAAGCUCUGCAGCCUCAGGUAACAGGAGCCAGUCUUUGUUUCCUGUGGCUUGGAAGAGCCUAACUUGUUUUAUUGUUAAUUGUGCAGAUAAUCAUUGAGUUAAAUGGUCACAGAGAAAGAAAAAAAAAGGGAUGCCCAGGCGUGGUGGCUCACGCCUAUAAUCCCAGCACUUUG
rnacentral:lncRNA from 1 species